rnacentral:rRNA from 1 species
AGUGAACGCUGGCGGUAGGCCUAACACAUGCAAGUCGAACGGCAGCACAGUAAGAGCUUGCUCUUACGGGUGGCGAGUGGCGGACGGGUGAGGAAUACAUCGGAAUCUACUUUUUCGUGGGGGAUAACGUAGGGAAACUUACGCUAAUACCGCAUACGACCUACGGGUGAAAGCAGGGGAUCUUCGGACCUUGCGCGAUUGAAUGAGCCGAUGUCGGAUUAGCUAGUUGGCGGGGUAAAGGCCCACCAAGGCGACGAUCCGUAGCUGGUCUGAGAGGAUGAUCCGCCACACUGGAACUGAAACACGGUCCAGACUCCUACGGGAGGCAGCAGUGGGGAAUAUUGGACAAUGGGCGCAAGCCUGAUCCAGCCAUACCGCGUGGGUGAAGAAGGCCUUCGGGUUGUAAAGCCCUUUUGUUGGGAAAGAAAAGCAGCAGGUUAAUACCCCGCUGUUCUGACGGUACCCAAAGAAUAAGCACCGGCUAACUUCGUG